GGACUGGAGAGACAGAAAGGGUAGUAGCUAUAGAGACGGGAGAGAAGAGAAGGGUAGUAGCUAGGACGAGGAGAGAAGAGAAAGGUAGUAGCUAGGGACUGGAGAGAAAAAGAGAAGGGUAGUAGCUAGGGACUGGAGAGAGAGGAGGGUAGUAGCUAGGGACUGGAGAGAGAAAGAGAAGGUAAGUAGCUUAGGGACUGAGAGAUAAGAGAGAGAGGGUAGUAAGCUAGGGACGAUUUAUAGGGAUACGAGAGUUAGUA
rnacentral:lncRNA from 1 species